GUAAUGAUCCUUCCGCAGGUUCAACCUACGGAAGGAUGAUUA
rnacentral:rRNA from 1 species